GACGAACGCUGGCGGCGUGCUUAACACAUGCAAGUCGAACGGAAAGGCCCGGCUUUUGUGGGGUGCUCGAGUGGCGAACGGGGGAGUAACACGUGAGUAACCUGCCCUUGACUUUGGGAUAACUUCAGGAAACUGGGGCUAAUACCGGAUAGGAGCUCCUGCUGCAGGGUGGGGGUUGGAAAGUUUCGGCGGUUGGGGAUGGACUCGCGGCUUAUCAGCUUGUUGGUGGGGUAGUGGCUUACCAAGGCUUUGACGGGUAGCCGGCCUGAGAGGGUGACCGGCCACAUUGGGACUGAGAUACGGCCCAGACUCCUACGGGAGGCAGCAGUGGGGAAUAUUGCACAAUGGGCGGAAGCCUGAUGCAGCAACGCCGCGUGCGGGAUGACGGCCUUCGGGUUGUAAACCGCUUUCGCCUGUGACGAAGCGUGAGUGACGGUAAUGGGUAAAGAAGCACCGGCUAACUACGUG
rnacentral:rRNA from 1 species